rnacentral:tRNA from 1 species
GCUGGUGUAGCUCAGUUGGUAGAGCAGCUGAUUUGUAAUCAGCAGGUCGGGGGUUCGAGACCCUUCACCAGCU